rnacentral:rRNA from 1 species
GACGAACGCUGGCGGCGUGCUUAACACAUGCAAGUCGAACGGUGAACCACUUCGGUGGGGAUCAGUGGCGAACGGGUGAGUAACACGUGGGCAACCUGCCCUUAGCUCUGGGAUAACCCCGGGAAACCGGGGCUAAUACCGGAUACGACCUCGAGCGGCAUCACUCGAGGUGGAAAGAACUUCGGCUAAGGAUGGGCCCGCGGCCUAUCAGCUUGUUGGUGGGGUAACGGCCUACCAAGGCGACGACGGGGUAGCCGGCCUGAGAGGGCGACCGGCCACACUGGGACUGAGACACGGCCCAGACUCCUACGGGAGGCAGCAGUGGGGAAUAUUGCGCAAUGGGCGAAAGCCUGACGCAGCGACGCCGCGUGAGGGACGAAGGCCUUC